rnacentral:rRNA from 1 species
UGGGGGAUUUUGCACAAUGGGGGAAACCCUGAUGCAGCGACGCCGCGUGAGCGAUGAAGGUUUUCGAAUCGUAAAGCUCUGUCCUAUGGGAAGAUAAUGACGGUACCAUGGGAGGAAGCCCCGGCUAACUACGUGCCAGCAGCCGCGGUAAUACGUAGGGGGCGAGCGUUGUCCGGAAUUACUGGGCGUAAAGGGUUCGCAGGCGGCAUGGCAAGUCCGAUGUAAAAGGCGAAGGCUCAACCUUCGUAAGCAUCGGAAACUGUCAAGCUUGAGUGAAGGAGAGGCAAGUGGAAUUCCUAGUGUAGCGGUGGAAUGCGUAGAUAUUAGGAGGAAUACCGGUGGCGAAGGCGACUUGCUGGACUUCAACUGACGCUGAGGAACGAAAGCGUGGGUAGCAAACAGG